GCAUAUCAAUAAGCGGAGGAAAAGAAACCAACAGGGGAUUGCCCUAGUAACGGCGAGUGAAGCGGCAACAGCUCAAAUUUGAAAUCUGGCUCUCGGGCCCGAGUUGUAAUUUGUAGAGGAUACUUUUGAUGCGGUGCCUUCCGAGUUCCCUGGAACGGGACGCCAUAGAGGGUGAGAGCCCCGUCUGGUUGGAUGCCAAAUCUCUGUAAAGUUCCUUCAACGAGUCGAGUAGUUUGGGAAUGCUGCUCUAAAUGGGAGGUAUAUGUCUUCUAAAGCUAAAUACCGGCCAGAGACCGAUAGCGCACAAGUAGAGUGAUCGAAAGAUGAAAAGCACUUUGAAAAGAGAGUUAAAAAGUACGUGAAAUUGUUGAAAGGGAAGCGUUUAUGACCAGACUUGGGCUUGGUUAAUCAUCUGGGGUUCUCCCCAGUGCACUUUUCCAGUCCAGGCCAGCAUCAGUUUUCCCCGGGGGAUAAAGGCGGCGGGAAUGUGGCUCUCUUCGGGGAGUGUUAUAGCCCACCGUGUAAUACCCUGGGGGGGACUGAGGUUCGCGCAUCUGCAAGGAUGCUGGCGUAAUGGUCAUCAACGACCCGUCUUGAAACACGGACCAAGGAGUCGUCUUCGUAUGCGAGUGUUCGGGUGUCAAACCCCUACGCGUAAUGAAAGUGAACGCAGGUGAGAGCUUCGGCGCAUCAUCGACCGAUCCUGAUGUUCUCGGAUGGAUUUGAGUAAGAGCAUACGGGGCCGGACCCGAAAGAAGGUGAACUAUGCCUGUAUAGGGUGAAGCCAGAGGAAACUCUGGUGGAGGCUCGCAGCGGUUCUGACGUGCAAAUCGAUCGUCAAAUAUGGGCAUGGGGGCGAAAGACUAAUCGAACCUUCUAGUAGCUGGUUUCCGCCGAA
rnacentral:rRNA from 1 species